CAAGCCUGGUCCAGGACGGAAAGGAAGUCGCAUAAAGCCACUGGAAAGGGGACCUUGAGGAUUAGAAGAUGCUCUUACCCUCUUUGACCAAAGAAAAUCCCAAAAGCUAUUUCCCAAGGUCUGUUCGGGAUCUCCAAGAGCUGAGACAACUCCACAUCGUGGUCUGGACUGAGAUUAGGGCUUAUCUGAAUGUGUCCUUUGAAGGUAAGGUUGCCUAAGAGGUGGUAAAUGCACAGGACAGGUGAUGUGUGGUACAAUGAAGUCAGAGCUUGAAGGAAGUCGUCUCCUCGCUCCGCAUUUACUAUGAUGGUGGGCUUGGUCAGAUGGAUGUGAUGACUUAUGCAAUUCCCAUGAAGUGGGGAUACUCAAGUCUGAGGAGCACCAACUAUGGAUUUGAUGGCUUGGGGUAACCAGAAGUCUACACUGAUGGUUUGGAU
rnacentral:lncRNA from 1 species